GCAUCAGAUCCAAGAAAUCAUUGCCAAAUAGCACAUUUGUUCCUUCCAAGAGGCUGAAUGUUGAGGAGCUAAACAUCCAAUGUUGGGAUCUAAACUUUGCCCCAUAAACCCUUGGCUUAGCUCCAGGGAUCCAGCUUGCCACAGCAGCACGGACAAGUAGACAGUGGUAUCCCAACCUUGUACCUAGAACAUAGGUGGUGGAUUGAGGAGAAUUCUGAUCCCUGUGUGUCGACUCACGGAUGCGUUGGUUGCCUGUCUUCGGGGAGGACAUUUGCCUAUUUCUAGUCCUCUGGAAUCUCUCCCAUUCUCUAUACGAAGUAACAAGAACUUGCACUGCGAUGGUAACCAUGAGCAUGGAAAGGAAAGCAUGGCUAUGAACACCACUCAAAUGAGCAGCCACCCUGCUUAUGCACGGGGAUGCAGAAGAGGCAAGAAGGAGACGCAGAUGGUUGCAAAACAUGAGCCUGACUACAUUCUGGGAUGAGGAGACUGACCGACAGUAACCUGCCAAUAGCUUUGGCCCAUGAGGACAAAGGGAUGCUAUUUCAAGCAGAGGGAAG
rnacentral:lncRNA from 1 species